UCCAGAAAGCAAACCAGAGUGAAGAGCCAGGGUUUUUUGAUGGAGUAUUUUUAUCCAAAGACUCUGAGGUGUCCAGUUUUGUUGAGGAAGUCCGGGGGGCUGUCAAGAGUGUAAGUUUUCAAUCAGGCUGAGCAGCGGAUAUCUUUGGCUUAUUUUAUAACUAACUGGAAGUAAAAUGAGAUGUUCGGAUGAGGGAAUCUUUGACCAGGUGUUGAGAUGGCAAUGGCAGGUUGCUGAGGUUAGCAAUGCAAUCAGACUUUCACAAAGAGUGAAGUUGCUGAGCUGAAUGAACAAAAUACAACUAGAUUUUAAUCCAGAGUGCACAGUAUAUCUAUAGUAUUGGUUGCCGCCCAUACAGUAUGUCUGACACAAUAUCUGACAAAAUUAGACUUUUGCAAAUUUCAUCCUACAUGCUAAAUGGCAAAUAAUUUCAAUUUGUUUGUUAUAUUCCAGGGAUUUGCAGAUGGAAGAUGGGUCAGGCAAUCAAAGACAAAAUCUAAUCAGACUGUCAAGUUUUCAGCUUUUGAGUGAGUUUGAGCGUGCAGCCCUUAUAUUAAAAUUUUAACUUUGGUAGACAGCAGGAAAAGCAAUGUGUGGGGAAUCCCAAUGGACAGCAGCAAGAGAGACAUCAAAGCAGGCCAACAAGUUGGACGAAGAAGGUGUAGAAAUUGCUGUGUGCAGGCAUGGAUUCCUCCUCAAAGGUCUGAAUAUGUAUAGAGGAGAAAUCUUUGCAUAUCCAAUGUUUCUCCAAAAAGAGUUCCAGGAUGCUGUAUUUUUGGCCAUGGAUGUGACCUGCCGUUAUGUGUCAUACCUGGAGAAGGUGUCAGAGGUCCUGACUCAUCCUCAGUCUCUUCAGGAAAUGAGACAUUCCCAGCUAACAAAAAUGAGUUGUCAGAACGUUUUACUAACAUUUCCCUUAAGUUAUGAAAACGUUAUUUCGGAAUGCUUUGUAAAUGUUGAGAGCGGCAAGUUUUUUUAAUGUAUUGAGAACAUUUUUUGUGGGGUUUCUGCGAACGUUACAGAAACAUUCCAU